ACUCGUAGAAAGUCGCACUUUGCCGGGAAAAUGGUUUUCUUCUUAUGGUAGAAGAACUGACGGAUUUAUAACUUGUCAAGGAAUAUUAUUACAAUAGUUUCACAACAUUUUACAUGGAUAUAUUCUUGUGAAACACUAUUAUUGUUACGCAGUUUGGUUUGCCGGCGGUAAAAAGAGAAAGUGCGUGGUUUCCUGGUUUCCUGUUUUUAUGAUGUUAUGGUAACAUUCCUGUAUUGAAGUACCCCGAUUAUAUUUGAUUUGGUAUCAAGUUUAUCCUGUAUCCUGUUUGGUUCAAAAUUGAAUGUCUUCCCUCCCAGCCCCGCUUAGAAUGGAAAAUUUUGGAUAAGUUUUCGACGUGUGACAUGGAUUUUUGUUUUAAGGUAUGGAUAAUGUUUAUUUUAAAUAAUUCACAAGUGGAUAUUAAUUUGGUAAAGGUUUUACAUAUUUAAAUAAUUUGUUUUCAACAUGGAUUCUUGGAAAGUUUUAUGUAAAGUAAAUUUAAUGGCAGUGACUUUUGACAGCCAUAAGUCAAAUUUUUGUUUUGGUACACUGCUAAAAAUAAAUAAGGUUAAGAAUUAUAAAACCAUGUAUUUGUUUUUAUUAUUCAUUUCUUGUUUGAGAAUAUGUUUAUUCUCAUAAUAAAAGUUUUAGAAUAGAAGAAAAUGUAAUGGCAUAGAAGCCAAUAAAGGUAAAUGAUAGCCCAGUAUAACCCCAACGAGGAAUCUACGAUGAAUGUCCCCCCAGUUGGUUUCCAGUAA
rnacentral:lncRNA from 1 species